CCCAGCUACACCGUGCAAGAAAAUUCCUAUCAAACAACACGUCUAAAGCCUCAUGCAUCCUGUUGUUGGCAUCCUGGCUGCUGAUAUCUGCAUCUAUCCUUUGAGAUUCAGUAUUGUGGACUGCUCAUUUAAAAUCACCAAUAUCUGAGCGCUGCGUGCAUCUAUUUUCAUUAACAUCAUCCGACAAAGAGGACAGCAGCUUCCAGAAUGCUCUGCUGAAGUAAUUGAAAGGACUGUUUGUUUUGCUCCUGCUGCAGUCUGGUGUUCAUCGUCGGUGAUCAUCAUUAUUGGCGACGAAGGCAGCACAGGCAAAUUUAUCACAACACUACCAGUUGCUCGUUCAGUCUUUAUGUUCGAUGUACCGGUGCUUGUCGAUGGCUCUUGGUUUCCACCAUCAACUAUCUUGCCUGGCGGUCGGAUCUGGCUAGGAACACCGGUAAAAGAUUGCUCAGAUAUAGCAGUACUCGUUGAUGGUUUUUGAACAUUAACGCUGAUCAUUUUGGCUGGUGUACGGCUCACAACACAAACAGAUCCUCCAGCAGCCGCUAUCACCGAUGCAGAAGCACUGGUGGGUAAUUGUUGUCUUACAACAGUGGUCUUCAUACCACGCUGGUUCUUCGGAGCAUGAACUUCGGCAAACGAUCCAAUCGAUGGUACUGCAGAUCCCGUCAAUGCCUGUUGUCUACCGAUCUUCAUGCCUGAUUGCUGCGGUAGAGCAUCAGUAACCGGUACCAAUGAUGGCGCAGCAGUACUAGUUGACGGUUGCUGUCCAUGUUGCUGGCCUAACGGACGGAAUGGUGCAGCAACACCAGGUAAUGUUGACCGAUGAUGAUUACCAUCACCGGCAC